UACGUAGGGUCCGAGCGUUAAUCGGAAUUACUGGGCGUAAAGCGUGCGCAGGCGGUUUUGUAAGACAGAUGUGAAAUCCCCCGGGCUUAACCUGGGAAUGGCGAUGGAGACUGCGAGGCUAGAGUUUGGCAGAGGGGGGGUAGAAUUCCACGUGUAGCAGUGAAAUGCGUAGAGAUGUGGAGGAACACCGGCGGCGAAAGCGGCCACCUGGACGAGGACUGACGCUGAGAUGCGAAAGCGUGGGGAGCAAACAGG
rnacentral:rRNA from 1 species